AGAAGCCUUACUAUAUUAUUAUUUAUAUGUUUAGAAGACAUAUAAAUAAUAAUAAUGUAAAUUGAAGAUAAAUGCAUUGCUUCUAAGCUUUCAUAUUCAAUAGAAACUCCAUGAACCCUGAGGACCUCAUUAGCACAAAGAUCAACUGAAGAAGAGCACACAUUUAAAAUCAGUUUAUCACACUCACUUUUAGGCAAGUGUGCUCCAACCAGCCUCACCCCACUCAUCAGGGGAAUGUGCUUCACCCUCUAGCAAAGCAAAGAUGAUAAUUGAUAAAACGGCCAGGGCCACCUUGAAUUCAAAAUGGUGUAUUGUGCCAGAAUUAAUCUAGGAUGGAGGAAUCCAUAAAAAUAGUUCUUUGAUUUUAUACUGACAUUACCAGUGCAUUUUGCGUAAAAGAGUUGACAUGGGCCUAUUACCAGAACUUGUCUAGUUAACGUCAAAAGAUAGCUGUGGUCCUUUCAGAUGGGGGCACCCUUGGAGGAUUCUUGAGAAUUCUUCAGUAAGACAUUUUUCUAUGGUGUCUUAGUAAAAUUGGUCACUUCUAUUUUUUUUUGCAUAGAUUUCUCCAGAACUGAAAACCCAGGAGAAUGAUACACUCACCAAAUUCAAAGUAUUUCAGUAGAAGAAUUUAGUCUUCCACUUCAAUGAGCGUGGAUUUACUCUCUAGGAGAAUGUUGCACAUAUGCACGAGCAGUUAUGAGGUCAUAAGACUUCCUGUUAUCAUCACACCCCAAACUUGGCCCUUCUCCUUUCUACCUUUCCUGUACUCGGAUCCCCAUCAGCAUUGGUCUGAGUGACUACAAGUAUCUCUGUCAGGUACCUCCCUUUCUCUCCAGUCCACAUGAGUGACAAUAUUACCUUCUUUAAAACAAGUAAGCAAAGCAAAGCAAAUUGGACAGCCCCCCUCACUCCUCCCCUGAUUUAUCAGUCCAUUGCAUGUACUUGCUUCUUGGGUCUAAUGGCUGUUCUCCUCCCAUUGCCUCCAUAAACUGUGUGCUUUCCCUGCAGACCCAUUCCCAUCAGAACUCCUUUGAGAACCCAUGACACAGAUAGUUCCUUCUGCCUGGAAUUCCUUUUUUCGGGCCUCCCUUUCUACCUCCAAGUCCAUCACUUUUGACCAAUUUAAAUAUGAAAACUCCCUCAGUGAUCAAUUCCAGCUGUCUAGGAUGGGACAAUCACUCCAUUAGCCCUUUAGAAUUGAGGUUUAAUUUUCUACACAUUUACAAGAGCACUUUUCAUUGGUUGUUUUAAUUAUCUAUUUAAUUUCUAAACUCACACAGAUACUGACAUACAACUUCCAUGAAAUAAUAUAUUCACUUACUCUCAUCUGUUUUUGAAAAAAAAAAAUAUGCUGCUAACAACUCAUUGUACUAAUUUCCCAGUUCAAUAGUGUCCACUACUUCCUACUUGGC
rnacentral:lncRNA from 1 species